UACGUAGGGUGCAGGCGUUAAUCGGAAUUACUGGGCGUAAAGCGUGCGCAGGCGGUUCGUUGUGUCUGAUGUGAAAGCCCCGGGCUCAACCUGGGAAUGGCAUUGGAAACUGGCGAGCUAGAGUGUGGCAGAGGGGGGGUGGAAUUCCGCGUGUAGCAGUGAAAUGCGUAGAGAUGCGGAGGAACACCGAUGGCGAAGGCAGCCCCCCUGGGCUGACACUGACGCUCAGGCACGAAAGCGUGGGGAGCAAACAGG
rnacentral:rRNA from 1 species